rnacentral:lncRNA from 1 species
GCGCAGCGCGGGGCGGGGCAGCGGGAAGGAGCUCAGCUGUGGGAUCAUCCCCAGACUGGCACAGCCCAGUCACAAAGCCAGAGCCCCACACUGCAGGAAUGGCCCCUCUUACAGGGAAGGGGCAUGGCCUGGGUGGCCCCGCCCCGCAGGCCCUCUGGCUACCAAACCUCCCAGCGCCCCCGCGCCCCUUUGGAGUUCUGACCCCGCGGGUGCACCCGUGUCUCCUGGACACAGAGGCUGCCCUCUGAUUGGGUUGAGCACCUUGGGCUGAACCCCUCAUCCGUGGACCAGGCAACCCGGCAUCGCCCACGUGGAGCCGCUGAGGUGAUCAUGUGUUCUGGUCAAUGCUUAGAUAACAGUUUGAGAUGCCGCUCUGGCCCCUGGGUUCAUGGCUCCACGUCUGAUUCUGAGGAGGAGGCUUCGGCUCCUUUGGAUUCACACUGGGUUCUAUGAUGGGCCCCUGACGGGAGGGCCUGCUCUAGGAGGCAUCCCCCACCGCUGUCCUGGCUCAGGACUGCUUUCCCCACUCUUCUCAUCUGCACCCUGGGCGACAAAUCCCAGCCUCACAGUGGGAGGGGCCUGGGCAGGACCUGAAACAAAGUGUCCCAGUGUCUGCUGUUCCUGGGCAGGUGGGGCUUGGGGGUCCCCCACGGUUCAAGCCUUGGCUCUAGGCCUUGGCUGGGCCUUGUAAUGGCACCCGCGACCCUCAGUUGCCUCACUCAUUGGGGCUUCGAAGGCCUCUGGUGCCCCGAGGGUCCUUCCUGAGGGCGACUUGAAUACGGCGGUCCUAUCCUGGGAUGGCCGGCAGGUGGCAGCGUCAGCCCGUCUGCUCUCCACCGGGCUCCCCGGUAGAGUUAUAGGGGAUUAGGCGGUGAGUUUUGCCCCAAAGGGAAUCGAAUCUAGAUCAGAACCACUGGCGAAGUGGAGCGACCAUCUGCCCGAAACAGCGGAGGGAAGGAAGCGCCUGGAGGGGGUCUCAGGGAGGUGGGGCGGGAGUCAGGUCUCCAUGUCCUUCCUGGCUGACCAGGCAACCUGGGAGCUCUGGUUGGUUCCAGGGUUCUGGGGUGGGGCAUGGGGGUCCUGCCAGGGGAGGGGGCGUUUGCCGCUUAGCACCCUUGCCUCCCUGUGGCAGCCUCCUCUUGAGCCCUUGG